rnacentral:rRNA from 1 species
AGAGUUUGAUCAUGGCUCAGAAUCAACGCUGGCGGCGUGCCUAACACAUGCAAGUCGAACGCGAAAGUGGAGCAAUCCAUGAGUAGAGUGGCAAACGGGUGAGUAACGCGUGGGUGACCUGCCUUCGAGUGGGGGAUAACGUUCCGAAAGGGACGCUAAUACCGCAUGUGGUUAUUGGAUUUAGAAACUAGUAACUAAAGGAGCAAUUCGCUUUGGGAGGGACCUGCGUCCCAUCAGCUAGUUGGUGAGGUAACGGCUCACCAAGGCGACGACGGGUAGGGGACCUGAGAGGGUGGCCCCCCACAAUGGAACUGAAACACGGUCCAUACACCUACGGGUGGCAGCAGUAGGGAAUAUUGCACAAUGGGCGAAAGCCUGAUGCAGCAACGCCGCGUGUGUGAUGAAGGCCUUCGGGUCGUAAAGCACUUUUCUGGGAGAUGAGAAAGGACAGUAUCCCAGGAAUAAGUCUCGGCUAACUACGUGCCAGCAGCCGCGGUAAUUC